CGCGUAGGUUGAAGUAUAAGUCAGCUGUUAAAUGUUACGGCUUAACCGUAAUUUGCAGUUGAUACUGUAUUUCUUGAGUGUGAGAGGGGAUAGUGGAAUAUCUAGUGUAGCGGUGGAAUGCGUAGAUAUUAGAUAGAACACCUGAGGCGAAGGCGACUAUCUGGCUCACAACUGACACUGAUGUGCGAAAGCAUGGGUAGCGAACAGGAUUAGAUACCCUGGUAGUCC
rnacentral:rRNA from 1 species